CUUGCUCCAUCUUUAUUGUGUUUGCUUUGUUCUUUUUUUUUUUUUUUUUUUUUUGAGACAAGGCACGCUUUGCUGCCCUGGCUGGAGUGCAGUGGCAUGAUCAUAGCUCACUGCAACCUUGAGAUCUCCCAGGCUCACGUGGUCCUUCCACCUCAGCCUCCUGAGUAGCUGGGACUGAAAGUGUGCACCACCGCUCCCAGCUAAUUUUUAAAAAAUCUAUAGUGGAGACAAGGUCUUACUAUGUUGCCCAGGCUGGUCCUAAACUUUUCAGCUCAAGUGAUCCUCCCAUCUUGGCCUCCCAAAGUGCUGGGAUUACAGAUGUGAGCCGCCAUGUCCAGCCUAGUUUAUCUUUACAGUAAUAUAUUUGUAUAUUUAACUCCAUGUAAAUCAAAGCUGAAUCUAUGUGCUCUGCAGGGCAGAGAAGUUGUACAUCCAACAAAGACUAUAGGAAAAAAUUUAAAAAUACUCAGAAAUAUACGUAUUUUAUUUAUACACCUGUAUAAUAUUUAUUAUAGCAAUAAUAGUGACUCUGUAGUUACAAAAAGAGGGAAAGGAUUUUAAAAAAUCCCUGGGAGAUGCUAUUCCACUAUGCCACCCAGUAGCACCUUGUCACCAUCUGUUAUCGACAUCUUCCACUAACAUGGAAUUGGUUUUUGGUAGGAUAACCCUUUAUUCUAUGAACCGCAGGCUUAACACGUUUAACACAGUUGUGUUUAAUUAAAAACAAAUGAAGUUCACAUAGAAUCUUAAAAAGCAUUUCAAAAUUUAUGGUAUAUUACCUUAACAAAAUACUGGUAAAACUAUUAAUUUAUAAAAUUCAAAAUGUUUCCCUCUUCCUAUAAUGCAGGUGUAAGGUCAGCCGAGAGAAAGGAUGAGGAGACCCAAAGUCAGGCAAGCAAGCUUUACUGAGCUGCUUGGCUGCUCUACCACAGUUGAAGGAGGCAGACCCGCUUACAGACAAUAGCAGGCUUUUAUAGGGCCAGAACCAGGUCGGGGUUGGGGAGCUGAGUUGGGGGUGCAGGAGAACUGGGUCAGCCAAGAGAAAGGAUGAAGAGACCCAAAGUCAGGCAAGCAAGCUUUAUUGAGCUGCUUGGCUGCUCCACCACAGUUAGAGGAGGCAGCCCUGCUUACAG
rnacentral:lncRNA from 10 species